GGUCUAUUAGUCUAGUUGGUUAGGACGUCGGAUUCUGAUCGCAUCAGUCUCUUCCGUAGGCCCAGGUUCGAAUCCUGGAUGGACCU
rfam:Colletotrichum gloeosporioides Nara gc5 unplaced genomic scaffold scaffold673, whole genome shotgun sequence.